rnacentral:rRNA from 1 species
AAGGGCACCACAAGAACGCGUGGAGCAUGUGGCUUAAUUUGACUCAACGCGGGAAAUCUUACCGGGUCCGGACACACUGAGGAUUGACAGACAAACAAUUUAUAUUGUUACAAAGAUGCUAGUUCUUUCAUGAUUAUGUGAUAGGUGGUGCAUGGCCGUUCUUAGUUCGUGGAGUGAUCUGUCUGCUUAAUUGCGUUUCAAUAUUUAAAUAUGUAUACGUAUGACCCAAUAACUAUGUUGUUGUGUGUCUAGUAUGCUAUCAUUUGAAAGCAACGAACGUGACCGUAUCCUUUUAUUAUAUACACACAUGUAUAUCUUUUUAAAGGGACCGCUGUUUCUUUCUUUUAAACCAGAGGAAGGUUACGGCAAUAACAGGUCUGUGAUGCCCUUCGAUGUUCCGGGCUGCACACGUGCUACAAUGAUCAUUUCAUUAAGUAUCUUAUAUGUGUGUAGUUCUACUACUACGAUCCUACCCUGAGAAUGGGCGGGUAAUCAAUUAGAAGUAAUGAUUUCCUUUUUUUUAUGCGCAACCAUGUACCGUUAUAUUACAUCCCAUAUACUUUUUUGUAUAUGCGUGUGUGUUUUAUUAUUCGUUUGUACGCGUAACUGUUAAUUCAUGGUGGGGAUAGACCAUUGUUAAUUGUUGGUCUCGGUCUUAACUAGGAAUGCCUUGUACGGGUCAUUGGUUCAACAAACCACCCGGAAUACGUCCCUGCCCUUUGUACACACCGCCCGUCGCUCUUACCGAUGAACUUCGCUAUGAAUCUAUUGGACUGUACUCUGUGUACGGAAAGAUAUAUGAAUAGUGUGGUUUAAAGGAAAGAGAAGUCGUAACAAGGCAUCCGUAGGUGAACCU